UACAGCCAUAUCACGUUGAAAAAACAGUUCUCGUAUGAUCACUGAAGUUAAGUGACAUUGAUCCUGAUCAAUACCUAGAUGGGUGACCACUUGGGAAUACCAGGUGCUGUAA